rnacentral:lncRNA from 1 species
AAAGAAUCAGGUUUUUAAAAAUAAAAAAUAAAAAAAUUAUUAUUUUUGCCACGUGGCACACAUUUGGCAACCACGUGGCACAAAUGUUGCGGCCACAUUAUCACUUAACAGAUCAAUGGAUGGAAAAUGUAACGGAUGUAUUAUUUUGAAAUAAAAUAGUACGUGAGGUAUGAAGGUGAAAUGUUUUAAAGAUGUUGUAUGGGGUUGUAAUAGACCUCAAACCUGAGGGACUACUAUGUAAUUUACCCAAUUAUUUAAGUAAUAAACUUAAUUUCUCCUAGUUUGCACAAGAAUAGUAUUUUCAUCGAAAAUUUCUAAAAUAACACAACAAAGUCAUUUCUCAACCAUUUUUCACAUAAGAGCAUCAAAAUGAAGCUUAGGAUGAGGGGAACGUUUUUAUACCUCAUUGGGGGAACAAAACUUGGUCAGAGGUGACGGGAAAUUGGCUUAAAAGCCAUUGCCAUAUUCAGGACUUUCUAGAUAUAGUAGGUUUCGAGUAUGCAAGCUCAAAUCCAUGGUCUAAGGGUUGUGGGAAGUCAUUCAACACCUUCAAACUCGAUCAACUCAACAAGGUUUAGAUGGGUUUAGCUUGGAAAAAUCCUACAACUCGCUAGAAAACAUGGUGCAUAAGGAAAAAGCUAAACGAUACUUCCAAAAGCCACAUG